rnacentral:misc_RNA from 1 species
UUAAAGAAAUUGUAGUUUUGGUUGGAUUUGUUUUUCCACCCGUUACAGUUGAUCAUAAAUCUAAUGUUCGCUGAAAAAAAAAUCCAACCAAAACUACAAUUUCUUUAAACUACAAAACAAAAAAAUCAAUACCAAUUUCAAAUCGUACAUUAUUAUCACUAAAAUAUAACAAGCAACGAAAACAGAGUAUAAAUCAAGAAACAAGCGUACGCAAUCAAUCCACGAUGUUCCUCUCCUCCAUCAGCCACUGCCACCAUUAGAUUUGUACAAGCCCUAGUCGCCCAAAUGACAAAAACCCCAGCGACCAAGAAUCUAAUAGGCCCGCCCUGAGGCAUGAAAAGCGAAAUCGCUGAUAACAUCACCACCGGCAGUAAACAAUAACCAAGAACACUAGUACAAGUAUGCAGAUCCAAAUUGCCAUUUCUCCCAGCCAGCAUAUUAAAUACCACAUAAAGAAAAAUCGACGAUACGACAAUCCAGCCCAAAAUUACACCAAAUUGGAUUUUCCCCGCGAGUAAUUGAAAUAAGCAAAGAGAGAGGUAGAGGAAGAUCGGGCCAGACAGAUCCGAAUCUUUGUGGAAGGUGGGGUUAACGCGGAAUGGAUUCAGAAUUGAUUUUGUCUUUCUCCAGAUUUGAUCAGGAUGUAUACCGAGCUCAUCGAGCAGUGGCUCUUCGUCGUCGAAGUUCGCGGCGCCAGAUGACGCGGCAGGCCCGCCGCCAAUGGGACCG